rnacentral:rRNA from 1 species
GAUGAACGCUGGCGGCGUGCCUAAUACAUGCAAGUCGAGCGAACGGACGAGAAGCUUGCUUCUCUGAUGUUAGCGGCGGACGGGUGAGUAACACGUGGAUAACCUACCUAUAAGACUGGGAUAACUUCGGGAAACCGGGGCUAAUACCGGAUGAUAUUUUGAACCGCAUGGUUCAAAAGUGAAAGACGGUCUUGCUGUCACUUAUAGAUGGAUCCGCGCUGCAUUAGCUAGUUGGUAAGGUAACGGCUUACCAAGGCAACGAUGCAUAGCCGACCUGAGAGGGUGAUCGGCCACACUGGAACUGAGACACGGUCCAGACUCCUACGGGAGGCAGCAGUAGGGAAUCUUCCGCAAUGGUCGAAAGCCUGACGGAGCAACGCCGCGUGAGUGAUGAAGGUCUUCGGAUCGUAAAACUCUGUUAUUAGGGAAGAACAUAUGUGUAAGUAACUGUGCACAUCUUGACGGUACCUAAUCAGAAAGCCACGGCUAACUACGUG